rnacentral:lncRNA from 1 species
GCUGCCUGGGGGAGUGGAGGGAUUGGAUUUACACCCUCUUUUCCCUCCGAAGCCUCCUUGGUGGGGGCGAAGAAAGACCAUCCAACCCUGCCAAAGGCAAAAGGAUUAAGGAUAAAUGAAAGCAAGAUAAUGUAGAAGAACUACUUAGCUGCUGGGUUUUUAGAGAUGAGUGAUUUUUUUUUGUAGGGAGAAAUUAUGAAACACAUUGAAAUGGACAAAAAAUUACUGAAUGUCUUAAAUGAAAAAACAGCCAUAGUUUGGCACACCGUCCCGGGCAUUCUGUUGCUAGAGGGGCUGUCCGCUUUUCUUUGUGGUGCUCUGCACAACUCGUUCCCUCUGGAAAGGCAUCAGGGGAGGCAUUUGGGAAAGCUGGCACUU